AAUAUUGGACAAUGGGCGAAAGCCUGAUCCAGCCAUGCCGCGUGGGGGAAGAAGGUCUUCGGAUGGUAAUGCACUUUAAGUUGGGAGGAAGGGCAGUAAGUUAAUACAAUGAUGUUUUGACGUUACCGACAGAAUAAGAACCGGCUAACUCCGUGCCAGCAGCCGCGGUAAUACGAAAGGUGCAACCGUUAAUCUGAAUUACUGGGCGGAAAGCGCGCGUAGGUGGUUCGUUAAGUUGGAAGUGAAAGCCCCGGGCUUAACCUGGGAAUUGCUUUCAAAACUGACGAGCUAGAGUACGGUAGAGGGUAGUGGAAUUUCCUGUGUAGCGGUGAAAUGCGUAGAUAUAGGAAGGAACAUCAGUGGCGAAGGCGACUACCUGGACUGAUACUGACACAGAGGUGCGAAAGCGUGGGGAGCAAACAGG
rnacentral:rRNA from 1 species